rnacentral:lncRNA from 1 species
UGCUGUCGUAAAUGAUGGUAGCGAGGAUUAACUGUCGCUAAUGCUUUACCAAACUCUAGCCUCAGACUCGUUGAUUCCUUUGCUUGAUAAAUGGCCUGUCAUCAUUUUACGACCGCGUAUGUGGGUCCAACUUGAAAAUAACACACACUAUGCGCACAUCAUGUUUUAAAUGUAACUACUAGUAUAUAUUCCAUGUACAUGAUGCAUAUGGUUUGGAAUACGUUUGUGUCGAUCUGUGUCGAUCUGGAUUUUUUUUUUUUUUUAACUUUUUUUUUUAUUUCAAAAGAAGAUUGUCAAUGACUGAGACCAUUUUUUGUGUCGACCUAUUUGUCCGACAAUACUCGUUUUUCUUUCACAUAUUAAAGAUGUAAAAUCAUAUUGAAUAAAAGGUAAUAGAAUGUACAUAAAACAGAACCUCAUGGGAACUGUCUUAUGUUUGUUGAAAUACUAUUCACAUAAUUAUGAUAUAUUCUUUGCUACAUUUGUUUUUUCCGGUUAAAGCAAAUAUAAGAAGUCAUU